rnacentral:piRNA from 1 species
UCCUGGCAUGUAAAAGAGAUUUUGUGCUGUG